UUUCUCUCUCUUCCUCAUCGAGCUCUCUCUUCUUCUCUGCAACCUUCUCAAAUUCACACCAAAACACACAAACGUGACAAAAAAAACUAUACCAUUGUGUUCAUCUUGACUCCACGAACUCAACCAUACCAUUUGAUCAUGUGUUGACUGAAUUUUGGACGUCCAACUCGGAAGGUCUGACUCGAUAAGUUUUGGUUCAACGAUUUUCAUCACGGCUUAGCAUAGAAAGCUCGAGGGGGAGACUGCUCAGUUUUCCAGCAAAGGAACUGUGACCAUUUGGUCAUUUUCAACUCAUUUUUCCGGCCAACCUUGACCACGACUGGACUCCUAAUAGGGAAAACGUAUCCCGAGGACGUACGGGGUCAAGCAAGGUUCGAAGGCUUCAUUUGGACUGCGUAUCUGUGAGUGGGCAGUUUAUUUUAUACCUAUACAUAUUGAUAGUUUCCCUAAAUGUGUAGUUACUUCACUUUUACACUUAUUGCCAAGUGUUCGUUAUUGUGAUAUAAAUUGUGAUAAAUGCUGCUAUAGGGUUGAGAUAUUACUAUCAUGACAUUCAUACAUAUCUGUACAUGCUCAUCUUGUUGUACCGGUGUUAGUACUCA